ACGGGGGGCCUACGGGAGGCAGCAGUGGGGAAUAUUGGACAAUGGGCGCAAGCCUGAUCCAGCCAUGCCGCGUGAGUGAUGAAGGCCCUAGGGUUGUAAAGCUCUUUUGUGCGGGAAGAUAAUGACGGUACCGCAGAUAGUCUAUUUUGGU
rnacentral:rRNA from 1 species